UACAGCUGAUUAUCGCGACAUCCGCUGCCUCCAUCAUCAAUACAACACCGACUGCGACUAUUAUCGGGGAAAAAAACAUCCACUGACAACAUUUCAUUAUCCUUCAGAACCGACCGGAACGGGGCCAAGGCUAUUUUUAACGAACAAACGCCUGUUACGAUCAUCGUGUCUCGAAACCAACAGUGGUGCUGAAAACAUGUGUGUGCCUCCAGUACCUCCUUUAGCCCUUGAUGACCCACACUGCUUCCCAGUGUGUGAGGCUGAGUGACUCUCUGUCCCCUCUAACCCCUCACCCCUGACCCCUCAUCAUGGGCAGUGUGGGUAGUGGAGUGGCAGGGGAGCAGGAGUUUGCCAUGAAGUCCGUGGGCACUAGGACCAUCCUGCCUCGCGCUCCGCCCCUGUCUCGCCGUUGCCCCGCCGACCGUAGCUGCAGCGCCGAACGACUCCCCCCACCCCCAGCGACAGCCUCCGAGGGAACCGCGUCUAGUGAAGAACGAGGAAGUAUUAGUAUUGGGACCGUAACUGGGAAAGACCGGCCUCCGGACUCUGACACAGACCGUACCACUACAACUGCAUCCAACUGUGACCGGGGGGAUACAGGGGUGGGAUACGGAAAUGGAGCAGGAAGGA